GAGAAGAACGUAGCGAAAUGCGAUAAGUAAUGUGAAUUGCAGAAUUCAGUGAAUCAUCGAAUCUUUGAACGCACCUUGCACCCUUUGGCAUUCUGAAGGGUAUGCUCGUUUGAGUGUCAUUGUACUCUCACACUCCCGAUCUUUGCAUUGGGAGCAGUGGACUUGGGUUUGCUGCUUCACCGUCGCUUACCUCAAAUAGGUUAGUGCAACUCUUGGUUGGACAUAGUACGGCGUGAUAAGUGUUCUUCGCCGGUGCCUCGCAAAGAGGGUGGCCGAUCGGGAUGUUGUGCUCCAAACCGUCUUCGGACAAUCUCUGACGACUUGACCUCAAAUCGAGUAAGACUACCCGCUGAACUUAAGCAUAUCAAUAAGCGGAGGA
rnacentral:misc_RNA from 1 species